UUUAAGAAUACUAAGAGGUAUUAUCUUCUUUCUUAGCUUCUAUACAUGUUUAAAUUCCUGUGAUUGAGUUCACUAAAUAGAAAACAGGAACAUGUACACCCCAUUCUAAAUGACUGAGAAAGAAAUGGAUAAACAAGACCAUAUUUAGCAAAGCAUUUUAAUUUGGGGAAGAAACUGAACAAAGAAAAGAAAAAGAACAUUAAUAAUGCUGAACUUCAGUGAACUACAUUUAUUAGCAUCCAUGUUGUUCUCCCAGUUAAUAUAGAGAUAUCUUGUAUUAUACAGAAUAACUGUCACCCAUGUUUCCAUUUAUGACAACAUUCUGAAAAUAUUCCGAUUUGCUCAAAGCAGAGAUCAUCGAUGCCAGCUGAUUGAGUGCACUAACCUUCCCAGAUCUAUACAUGUGCAUGCUUGUAUAUGUAUAAAUGUAUACAGUGGUCACACCUCUGAGACUUUUUGGCUGCUGGUCAUCAACGGAUGAAACAAGGUUAAAUAAAUCACAAGCACCAUUCUACUGGAGUCAAGGUUACAGCAAAGAAAGAAGGAGUUGGUGAAGAUUGAGGAUGUAGACAGCUGCCUAUCCCACUUCUUCUGAAGGUGCCGAACAAUAGACGCUACAGAAAAAUUUUGCUGUAGGGUCUAUUGCUGAACUGUCAUGAGGUCUACAUCUUGUUUUCAAAUGAUUCAAGAUAAGAAGAGAGGCAGAGAGAGAGAAAUGGCACAGAAAAAUGCGGAUUUGGAAACAAAGCAGGAAAAUGAUGCCAGAAAACCCUGGCAAAGCUCUGACCACUGCCUGCUGAGGAAUGGCUGCGGAGGGAGAGAAAUGUGUUUGCAAUUAGGACUGCCCAGAGCAGGUCCGAUUACAUCUGCACGCAGCCAAGCUGAAGAGAUUUCCAGGGUGAACUUGUCGUGUGGGCCUAAAUGGAUAAAAGGGAACUUAGACUGGGGCCAUUACAAGGAAAUAAACGGGGCCUCCCUCUGCCCCUCCUCGUGUCACCCUUUUCUGAGCUCAUUCCUACCUCUUGGAUGAAGAAG
rnacentral:lncRNA from 1 species